rnacentral:rRNA from 1 species
GAAAUCCUACGGGAGGCAGCAGUGAGGAAUAUUGGUCAAUGGGCGAGAGCCUGAACCAGCCAAGUCGCGUGAGGGAGUACUGCCCUAUGGGUUGUAAACCUCUUUUGUCGGGGAGCAAAAAGCGGUACGUGUACCGCAUCGAGAGUACCCGGAGAAAAAGCAUCGGCUAACUCCGUGCCAGCAGCCGCGGUAAUACGGAGGAUGCGAGCGUUAUCCGGAUUUAUUGGGUUUAAAGGGUGCGCAGGCGGCGAGUUAAGUCAGCGGUAAAAUUUCGGGGCUCAACCCCGACGAGCCGUUGAAACUGG